UUCAGCGGCCCUUGAUGGCUGCAUGGUCGAGGGCCGCUGGAUGAGACAUCGUGUGUCUCAUCACCUUUUACUCUACUUCCUUCAUUAUAAAUUGAGUACAUUGAUUGGGCUCAGUGUCCCAACUAUUCCCGAACUAGCUGCCGGCGUUAGUUUGUUUACUGGCGGCCAGUCUGUCCCUCAGCUUGUUUGUAUCAUUUAUCAUUCUGCUUCUUCCCUAAUGAAUCACCUCUCAUUCGAUUUCCUUCCAUCUUCCAUCACCGUUAGGUUAUCCUUUGUCGAUAAAAACACGUCGUAAUAACUCGUUAUCCUUUCUUUGUUGCCAAAAUGUUGAUUCCUUUGUCGAUAAAACUAAAACAACUCAAAACCAUAUUUUCCUUUCUUCGUUUACAAAACGUUGAUUCCUUUGUCGAUAAAACUAAAACAACUCACAACCAUAUUUUCCUUUCUUCGUUUACAAAACGUUGAUUCCUUUGUCGAUAAAACUAAAGCAACUCAAAAUCAUAUUUUCCUUUUCUUGUUUCCAAAACGUCGAUUCCUUUGUCGAUAAAAACGCGUCGCAAUAACUUGUUAUCCUUUCUUUGUUCUCAAAAAGUCGAUUCCUUUGUCGAUAAAACUAAGACAUCGCAACAACUCAUUUUCCUUCCUUUAAAGGUCAGUAUCCCACCCCGACAUUUACGUCAGAGUCAGCAUCCCACCCCGACAUUUACGUCAGGGUCAGCAUCCCACCCCAACAUUCAAGCUGGGGUCAGCAUCCCACCCCAACAUUCAAGUUGGGGUCAGCAUCCCACCCCGACAUUUACGUCAGGGUCAGCAUCCCACCCCAACAUUCAAGCUGGGGUCAGUAUCCCACCCCGACAUUUACGUCAGGGUCAGCAUCCCACCCCAACAUUCAAGCUGGGGUCAGCAUCCCACCCCGACAGUUAAGUCAGGGUCAGCAUCCCACCCCGACAAUUAAGUCAGGGUCAGCAUCCCACCCCGACAAUUAAGUCAGGGUCAGCAUCUCACCCCGACAGUUAAGUCAGGGUCAGCAUCCCAUCCCGACAGUUAAGUCAGGGUCAGCAUCCCACCCCGACAGUUAAGUCAGGGUCAGCAUCCCACCCCGACAUUUAAGUCAGGGUCAGCAUCCCAUCGAGAGCCCAAAAUGUGGAUGAUGACUUUUUCCUUUUUAAGAUGUUGUGUUUCUAUCGUAUUUUUUUUUCUGGUGUUUUUUUCUGUAUUUUCCUUGUGCUGGUUUUCUCUUUCUUCAUUUUCCUUUUUCUGGUGUAGUUUUAACUGUAUAUCGGCUUUUCUUGGUGCCGUAUCCUGCUACAGACGAGUCUCCUUCACCCCAAAGAAGCCUCGCCCGUACCAACAUACCACACCAAAGUCCUUAAUCCUAGUUGUUCGUUCUGCUAAUGUUGUGUUUUGUAUCUGAUUUCUUUUUUCUGGCAUUCCUUUUCUGUAUUAUCCUGUCUCCGGUGUUAUUUUUCUUUAUUUGUCGUGUGACAGUGUUGUGUAGAGUAUCUACAUCGCCUCUACCUGGUGCCGUAUCUUGCUACAGAGGAGUCUCCUUCACCCCAGAGAAGGCUCAGCCAUACCAAUAUACCACACCAAAGGCCUUCAUGCUGGAUCUUUGUGUGUGUUUUUGUUUUAUUUUUUCCUUUUUCUCAUCUGUGCUUCUAUCUUGUCUAUUUCCUGGAAUUCCUCUCCUGUAUUGUCCUAUUUCUGAUGUUCUUUCAGUUUAUUUUCCUUAUUUUCGGUGUGUUCACCUGUAAUAUCCCUGUCGUGGAGUUCUUCUGAAAUCGCCUUUCCUUGGUGCUGUGUGCUGAUACGAAUGAAUCUCCUUCACCCCAGAAAAGACCCGCCCAUACCAACACACAACACCAAACGCC